CGCAGCCAGCUGCGAUAUUUGGUGUGAAUUGCAGGACACAUUGAGCACUGAUUUUUCGAACGCACAUUGCGGCCUCGGGUCCUGCCCGGGGCCUCGCCUGUCUGAGGGUCGGAUGAGACUUGCCUAGGAAGUACUCUUUCCCCUUYCGGGGGGAAAGGGCUUUCAAGUGGCCGCACCGGAUGCCCCAGGGUGUUCGCCGGCCUAAGGUCUUUGAAGGAUUCUAACCCGGUCGAAGAGAGCGCAGCCGAAUUUGGAUGCUCGUCGAUUGGAGAAGACGGACACUUUGAAUUUUCUCCUGAGGGACGAGACACGGCUCAGAAGCGCACGAGAACGACAUGGGUUCUGGUUUCCGUCUCUGGUCCUCACGAGGGACCGGAGAUUGCAAUUUUAUACUCUAUUGUCGACCUCAGAUCAGACGAGAUGACCCGCUGAAUUUAAGCAUAUC
rnacentral:rRNA from 1 species